rnacentral:lncRNA from 1 species
AAGCACCACCAAGAUCCUUUGGCAUUUGAAAUCAUUUGGAAUUCUGUUUUUUUAUUCUGAGUUUAUAGUUUUAGAUAUUGGUAUAUUAAGGAGGGAAAGUUCUUUUAUGAAGAAAUAGGGAGGUAUCUCAAAGUGUAUUUUUUAUGUUGCAACUGAAUUGGAACUUUCAUAGGUAUCAACUGUAUUAUUUUCUCUUCAAAAAGAUCUCUUUCCUGUCUGGU